rnacentral:rRNA from 1 species
UACGAAGGGGGCUAGCGUUGUUCGGAUUUACUGGGCGUAAAGCGCACGUAGGCGGAUCGUUAAGUCAGGGGUGAAAUCCUGGAGCUCAACUCCAGAACUGCCUUUGAUACUGAGGAUCUUGAGUUCGGGAGAGGUGAGUGGAACUGCGAGUGUAGAGGUGAAAUUCGUAGAUAUUCGCAAAGAACACCAGUGGCGAAGGCGGCUCACUGGCCCGAUACUGACGCUGAGGCACGAAAGCGUGGGGAGCAAACAGG